rnacentral:rRNA from 1 species
UACGUAGGUGGCAAGCGUUGUCCGGAUUUACUGGGCGUAAAGGGUGCGCAGGCGGACCUCUAAGUAAGAAGUGAAAGGUUGGAGCUUAACUCUGACACUGCUUCUUAUACUGGGGGUCUUGAGUGCCGGAGAGGAAAGCGGAACAGCACGUGUAGCGGUGAAAUGCGUUGAGAUGUGCUGGAACACCAAUGGCGAAAGCAGCUUUCUGGACGGUCACUGACGCUCAGGCACGAAAGCCAAGGUAGCGAACAGG